CUACGGGUGGCUCCAGUGGGGAAUAUUGGACAAUGGGCGCAAGCCUGAUCCAGCAAUGCCGCGUGAGUGAAGACGGCCUUAGGGUUGUAAAACUCUUUCGCUAGGGAAGAUAAUGACUGUACCUAGUAAAGAAGUCCCGGCUAACUCCGUGCCAGCAGCCGCGGUAAUACGGAGGGGACUAGCGUUGUUCGGAAUUACUGGGCGUAAAGAGUUCGUAGGCGGACUGACAAGGUAGAGGUGAAAUCCCAGGGCUCAACCCUGGAACUGCCUUUAAAACUGUCAGUCUAGAGACCGGAAGAGGUUAGGGGAAUACCUAGUGUAGAGGUGAAAUUCGUAGAUAUUAGGUGGAACACCAGUGGCGAAGGCGCCUAACUGGUCCGGUACUGACGCUGAGGAACGAAAGCGUGGGGAGCAAACAGGAUUAGAUACCCCGGUAGUC
rnacentral:rRNA from 1 species